GUGGCUUCCUAGGAUUGCAAGAUUCUUGGCCAACAAACAGAAAGAGUUGCAGAGAUGUGUCCAACACUGAUCUAAGGUCUGCAACUCCUUGCAAACUCCUGCCUCUACUUUAAGCACUGUCAGCAGGACACCUUAGCUUUUCUGCAAUCUGAUUUUUGGAUAUGUUGAAACUCAUUACUCCCAAUGAUGUCAAUCGGAGCUGCAGGUGCUCAGCACUCCUAGAAAAGAAAAUCCAGCG